CCGUGGAGACGUGUCCCCGGACACCACGGGCGACUUGUACACAAUUUCCGCCCCGUGGUCCGUCUUGGCUUUGGCGUUCUCACGGAAGGGACGUGGGUGAUGUUAUCCAGGGACCCGAUCUUCGACUGGACUCGAUCCUUGAAGUCCAGCUUCUCAGAUUUAACUUCCACCUGGCCACCUCCUGGAACACAACACACACCAGAGCGUCUUGCCAUCUUCCUCUGCGGUCUAGUGGACUCCGCAUGCAUUAAAUGAGGGCGGGUGCCACUGCUCCGAAGGGGAGAGGACCGCGAUAUAACCUUCACAUUUGCACAUGAAGGGCCGUGCAAGUGAUUCCCAGUAGGGACCAGCCUUUAGGAGCAGGUCACAUUCAGACACGGAGAGAGGAGCGACUGAUCUGGUUGGUGCUGCAGCACUGGAAAAUCUCUCGGGAAAGGCGAGAGCUGUCUGCAGGCCCCAAGCGGGAGAGGCUGUGCGAGGACUGACAGGUGGGCUUUGUAGCAGGAGAAGGAAGCUUCUGCAGAUCCCGGCUCCGCGGCCAGAGCAGCGUCGGGUCACCAGGCAGGACCCAGAGCAGCGACUCAGAGGAGAGAGCGGCUGGCACCUGUGCACACGGUGUCCUGGACAUUUCGGUCUUUACCAAACGAGCAAAGCAGCUGCCAGGACGGGCAGGUGGCACAGCAGAGACGCCAACAGACAGUGUCCCGCCGGCUCGGGCAGACUCGGACUCACCAGGGGAGGCCUGUGGGCUCCAGGCUCAGCACCCUUGGGAAGGACGGCCCCUGAGCCGCCUGUUCCCCUGAGGGUGACCCCGUGGGGACCCCACAGUGGCAGAUGGGUCUCCUGUAGGCAAGUCUCCACAAAGCCAUGGCCGUGAGGGGCCUGGGUCGCCGACUGACACUCCAGAACCCCUGGGGCCUCUGCUGGGACCUCGUGGGAUGGGCCACGAGGGUAGCCCAGGAGAGAGACGGCCCCAAGUCUUGGAGGGGUUCAUCAAAGCCACAGAAAGAAAGAGGGUCUUCUACCUUAGUCUAAACUGGAAAAAUCCCCAAUUAUUUUAAAGUCACGUUGGUGUUUGCUUAUUGACAGAGAGCUGGCAGAUGGCCUGGCCCUUGGGGUCAGUGCGGGAGUGAUGUGUUGGUAGGACAAUGACCUGUGUCUCUGGGAGGGCGGGGACAGAGGCAUCAUUCCCUCCUCCCUCUGGCCUGGGUGAAGUCACU